GACGAACGCUGGCGGCGUGCUUAACACAUGCAAGUCGAACGCUGAAGCUCAGCUUUUGUUGGGUGGAUGAGUGGCGAACGGGUGAGUAACACGUGAGUAACCUGCCCCCUUCUUUGGGAUAACGCCCGGAAACGGGUGCUAAUACUGGAUAUUCACUGGUCUUCGCAUGGGGGUUGGUGGAAAGGGUUUUUCUGGUGGGGGAUGGGCUCGCGGCCUAUCAGCUUGUUGGUGGGGUGAUGGCCUACCAAGGCUUUGACGGGUAGCCGGCCUGAGAGGGUGACCGGUCACAUUGGGACUGAGAUACGGCCCAGACUCCUACGGGAGGCAGCAGUGGGGAAUAUUGCACAAUGGGCGCAAGCCUGAUGCAGCGACGCCGCGUGAGGGAUGGAGGCCUUCGGGUUGUGAACCUCUUUCGCUCGUGGUCAAGCCGCAACAAUGGUUGUGGUGAGGGUAGUGGGUAAAGAAGCGCCGGCUAACUACGUG
rnacentral:rRNA from 1 species